rnacentral:rRNA from 1 species
CCUCUUAGGCAAAUCCGGGACCCUUUAUGCCGAGCACCGAGACGAGCCCUAUUGGGCGAAGUGACUGACACCACGCUUCCAGGAAAAGCCACUAAGCUUCAGCUAUAGAAGAACCGUACCGCAAACCGACACUGGUAGGCAGGGUGAGAAUCCCAAGGCGCUUGAGAGAACUCGGGUGAAGGAACUAGGCAAAAUGGCACCGUAACUUCGGGAGAAGGUGCGCCCUUUAGCGUGGUCACAUGCGUGACUGAGCGUUGAAGGGUCGCAGUAACCUGGCCGCUGCGACUGUUUAUCAAAAACACAGCACUCUGCAAACACGAAAGUGGACGUAUAGGGUGUGACGCCUGCCCGGUGCUGGAAGGUUAAUUGAUGGGGUCAGCCGCAAGGCGAAGCUCUUGAUCGAAGCCCCAGUAAACGGCGGCCGUAACGAUAACGGUCCUAAGGUAGCGAAAUUCCUUGUCGGGUAAGUUCCGACCUGCACGAAUGGCGUAACGACAGCGGCGCUGUCUCCACCCGAGACUCAGUGAAAUUGAAUUCGCUGUGAAGAUGCAGCGUUCCCGCGGCAAGACGGAAAGACCCCGUGAACCCUUACUAUAGCUUUACAUUGAACGUUGAGUUCUUCUGUGUAGGAUAGGUGGGAGGCUUUGAAGUGCAGGCGCUAGCUUGCAUGGAGCCAACCUUGAAAUACCACCCUGAAGUGCUUGACGUUCUAACCUCGACCCGUCAUCCGGGUCAGGGACCAUGUAUGGUGGGUAGUUUGACUGGGGCGGUCUCCUCCCAAAGAGUAACGGAGGAGCACGAAGGUACGCUCAGCGCGGUCGGACAUCGCGCACUGUGUGCAAUGGCAUAAGCGUGCUUGACUGCGAGAUCGACGGAUCAAGCAGGUACGAAAGUAGGUCAUAGUGAUCCGGUGGUUCUGUAUGGAAGGGCCAUCGCUCAACGGAUAAAAGGUACUCCGGGGAUAACAGGCUGAUACCGCCCAAGAGUUCAUAUCGACGGCGGUGUUUGGCACCUCGAUGUCGGCUCAUCACAUCCUGGGGCUGUAGCCGGUCCCAAGGGUAUGGCUGUUCGCCAUUUAAAGUGGUACGCGAGCUGGGUUCAGAACGUCGUGAGACAGUUCGGUCCCUAUCUGUCGUGGGCGUUGGAGAUUUGAGGGGGGCUGCUCCUAGUACGAGAGGACCGGAGUGGACGUUCCGCUGGUGUUCGGGUUGUCAUGCCCAUGGCAUUGCCCGGUAGCUAUGAACGGAAGUGAUAACCGCUGAAAGCAUCUAAGCGGGAAGCACGCCCCAAGAUGAGAUCUCCCGAGAGCUUGACUCUCCUUAAGGCACCAUCAAGACCAGGUGGUUGAUAGGUCAGGUGUGGAAGUGCAGCAAUGCAUGGAGCUAACUGAUACUAAUGAGCCGUGAGGCUUGACC